GGAGAGGUGUCCGAGUGGCUUAAGGAGCACGCUUGGAAAGCGUGUGGGCGGGAAACUGCCUCGGGGGUUCGAAUCCCCCCCUCUCCGCCA
rnacentral:tRNA from 1 species